rnacentral:rRNA from 1 species
GCUCCGGCGGUGCAGGAUGGGCCCGCGGCCUAUCAGCUGGUUGGUGAGGUAACGGCUCACCAAGGCGACGACGGGUAGCCGGCCUGAGAGGGCGACCGGCCACACUGGGACUGAGACACGGCCCAGACUCCUACGGGAGGCAGCAGUGGGGAAUAUUGCACAAUGGGCGCAAGCCUGAUGCAGCGACGCCGCGUGAGGGAUGACGGCCUUCGGGUUGUAAACCUCUUUCAGCAGGGAAGAAGCGCGAGUGACGGUACCUGCAGAAGAAGCGCCGGCUAACUACGUGCCAGCAGCCGCGGUAAUACGUAGGGCGCGAGCGUUGUCCGGAAUUAUUGGGCGUAAAGAGCUCGUAGGCGGCCUGUCGCGUCGGUUGUGAAAGCCCGGGGCUCAACCCCGGGUCUGCAGUCGAUACGGGCAGGCUAGAGUUCGGUAGGGGAGAUCGGAUU